ensembl:lncRNA
CUUGCUUCUGUUACAUAUGGAUGUUUCUGAACCUAAAUAGAAUCCUGAUUUAAAGCCAAAACUGAGUCAGAAUAGCCAUAUUGCUUUUUUUUUCCCCUCUUCUUGGUUGUUUUGUUUGGUCACUUGGUUGAAUUCUUUUAGAGAUGGUGUCUCACUACGUUUCCCAGGUGUAUUAGUUUGUUUUCAGGGUACUAAGACAGACCAGAAACUGGGAAGGAAAAGAGGUUUAACUGGACUUACAGUUCCACAUGACUGGGGAGGCCUCAGAAUCAUGGCGGGAGGUGAAAAGCACUUCUUAACAUGGUGGCAGCAAGAGAAAAAUAAGGAAGAAGCAAAAGUGGAAACCCCUGAUAAACCCAUCAGAUCUUGUGAGAUUUAUGCACUAUCACAAGAAUAGCACAGGAAAGGCUAGCCCCAUGAUUCAGUUACCUCUCCCUGGGUCCCUCCCAUAACACAUGGAAAUUCUGGGAAAUACAAUUCAAGUUGAGAUUUGGGUGGUGACACAGUCAAAUAAUCAUUCCGCCCCUGACUCCUCCAUAUCUUAUGUCCUCACAUUUCUAAACCAAUCAUACCUUCCCAACAGUCCUUCAAGGUCUUAACUUAUUUCAGCAUUAACCCAAAAGACCAUAGUCAAAAGUCUCAUCUGAGGCAAGGCAACUCCCUUCCAUCCAUGAGCCUGUAAAAUAGAAAGCAAGCUAGAUACAGUGCUGGUAUAGGUAUUGGGUAAAUACAGCCAAUCCAAAUGGUAGAAAUUCACCAAAAUAAAGGGGUUACAGGGCUCAUGCAAGUCCAAAAUCCAGCAGGGCAGUCAAAUUUUAAAGCUCCAAAAUGAUCUCCUUUGACUCCAUGUCUUACAUCCAGGUCAUACGGAUACAAGAGAUGGGUUCCCGUGGUCUUGGGCAGCUCUACCCCUAUGGUUUUGCAGGGUACGGCCUCCCUCCUGGCUGUUUUCAUGGGCUGGCAUUGAGUAUCUGUGUCUUUUUCAGGUGCACAGUGCAAGCUGUCAGUGGAUCUACCAUUCUGAAGUCUGGAGUUGGAGGAUCUACUAUUCUGGGGUCUGGAGGAUGGUGGCCCACUUUUCACAGCUCCACUAGGCAGUGCCCCAAAGGCCCACAAAGAUAAUAAAGAAAAGAGAAAAUACGUAUGAUAAUCAAGGUCUUAGAGAGAGUGGAUCACAGGCCAACCACAUUUUCAUUUUUGAAGAAGUAAUUCUGAAAGAGAGAUUUCGAAAUUGGUUGGAAACAUGAUUUCUAUCUUCACAAGACUCUGUAAGGAGGUAUAUGUUCAAUAAUCAAAGUAAAUUUUAAACAAUACUGAAAAAAUGCAAUAUUCAUUGUGUGCUACAUAUACACUAUACACUACACUAUAUACAG